UAUCGAUCAUAGGUACAAUAUUUUGUUGUCAUCUAUUAUUUAGAUUUAGUACGAGUAACACGAAUUUUUUGAUACGAAUAAUUAAGUUAGACCGAUUCGUAUGACUCGAAACCUAAUACAAUCGCUGAACUCUAAAGAACUACAAUAGUGGCGCCAUCUUUAAGCAGAAGAGAACUUAACAAAAUCCGGCUCUCUAAACACCGAGGAAAUUCGGCAACAACGUUAUAUGUCAGAAAAAAAUCACAAAUUUGUCCUGUAGCAACACGGGGAGCCAAAUCGUUUGACAGCUGUCAAUAUAUUGCGAAAUAUCAAAUAUUUUUGAAUUUUGAAUUUGUCAACCACCUGCAAAAAGUAUAUUUGAUUUUCCAUUGCACGUUCAAUCCUUUAUAUCUGUAAUGUGAAGCAAUUCUAAGUCUUUCUACAAUUUUGCAACUUUAUACAAGUAAAUCCAAAAAUUCUUUGAAUAAGUGGUACUCUCAGCAUAAAAUGAGUGCUCCAAAUCGACUUCCAGGGCUCCGUAGCAGGCAAAUUGAGGCUAUGAAAGAAUGCCAAAUUAAAUUGCUGAGUGCGGAAAAGAUAAAAACACUGGAAGUGCCAAGGGAGACAAAUAUUUUGAAAAAUAAUGAUAUAGGGUCAAAUAUCUCUCAAAACAUUCCCAAUAGCCAGCUUGAAAGAAAUAAACCUGUGGUAAAUGAUAAAAUAUGUGAUACACUAGGUGAUCAAGUUCCAACUAAAGUUCCAAAAAGGGCUCCAGAGCUCCCUAAAGAACAGAUUAAUUUAAUAAGAAAACAUAUUUUGACUCAGCCGAAGAUGACACAUAGCAAAAACCUAUCCGACUUUAAAAUUAGGUCUCAAAACUUUCCAAAUAGUAAAAAUCCUACAGGGGAAUAUUUAAAAGUGGGUAGCAAUCAAUUUGAUGCUGUAUUAGACCCAACCAGUAAACAAAUAAUUGCAAAUUCCUCAUCAACUCAUAGUUUGACCGAGCCAGGUAUGUCUGAAAGUAAAUCAUCAGACUUUGAAAGUCCAGAUAAAUGCAUAAAUAAUAUAAAUUGCAGCAGAAGUUUAGUAGUGAAUAACAAUCUAAUUAUUAAACCUACCCCACAAACAAUUUAUACAAAUCCCCCAAUAAAUUCGCCCACAUAUCCCAAGCCAAUAGUUGAUCUUUUAAAAUCUACCCCAAGAAGGCCAACAAUGCUUUCUACAGAAAAUAUUAAACCUUUAACAGUUUGUCCUAUUGAAGAACUUAAGGUAUCUUCUUACUUCCUCCUUAAAAAAACAUGUGAAUUCUGUAAUUGUACAAUAAAAGAAGAAGAGACAAUGUAUCUUCGAUGGCAAAACAUUUGUUUUUGCGGUACUGUUUGUCUGAACUCUUAUCAGCAAGAGAAUUUACCCAAAUAUUGCACUAAUUGCUUAAUAGAAAUUCCCCGAAAAUCUUUUGGCAACUAUGUUUAUCGGUCAACUAAAGUAUUGCAAUUUUGUUCAUUGGAUUGUUUUCAUUUCUAUGAGAACAAUAGCAACAGAUGCAUGUACUGCUUUAACAAUAUUACUGCUCCUUCAGAGUAUUCUCAGAAUUUUUGUCACAAGUGCUAUUUCAAGCAAGUUAAAUCUGAGGAUAAAAUUGCAAAUCCCUUGAAGAAGGAAAUUUGUGAGCUAUGCAAUUGUCAGACAUACAAUAGUACAAUCAUUGAAACAAGUGCAGGCAGGUUAAGGAUUUGUCAGGAGAGUUGUGGGAAGUGGUACUACAACUCUAACAAUAUUGUUCAGUCUUUUUGUGAUGUAUGUAAGAUGUCCUUUCAUAAAUUAGAUGAGAUUAAGGUCUCAUAUAAAGGGGUUAUAAGUUCUGUUUGCUCAAAAGAAUGUGAAAACCACAUAUAUUUUUCACAUGCAGAAUUGCUUUCCUGUAAUUAUUGCAAGUUAGUAAAGUGUGAUAUUGAUCUGAUAGAGAGGUGUUCUAGAAUUGAGCCUCCCAGCUUCUUCUGUAGUAUUUCAUGUUAUAUGAGGGGCUAUAAUGGUAUCACAGAUUUACUUGAAUUGAGCAAGGAUCAGACUCUUUAUGACUGUGCAAUGCUAAAAAGAAGCUUGUCCAAAAUAAAUGUGGCAACAAUGUGUUCAGUUCAAAAGUCUGACAAAAGUGUUUUGGCCAAUCAAGAAAUGAUGGAGAAAUCCACUCAAACUUAUUUAAAAUUACCUUUUUUAGUACCUGUUCCUAUUCCUUUACCUCUGGUCCUUCCACUUAGCCAGUCAACCUGUGAAAAAGUUUCUCAAGACAUAAGAGACAUUGUGGGUUGUAAAAAUCAGGUACAUAUUCAAGAAGUUACUGAUAAAGCUGUGGGAAUUGAAGCCUCAAGUGAAUCAGCCAUAAAUAUUUCUAAAAUAGUCAGAAAUGAUUAUCAAGAAAUGGAAACAGUAAAUGCUUGUUGUAAAGAUUUUAAAGAUAAUACUAAAAUACUUGUCACAAGUGAUAUCAAUACUAACAACCAAAAUACAGGACAAGAGGACUAUUCUGAUCAACCACUAACUAUUAAUAAUGAGCCUUAUGAAAAAGCUGAGACACUAGUUCCAAGUGAUAACUCAGUUAAUGUCAUUAAUGACAAGGUGGAAGAUAUUAAGGGUAUUACAGAAACUACUUUAGACCACUCAGCUUUGGUAACAAUUGAUAACUCACUUGAGGAUAAAAAGACAUUGAAAAUGGAAACAGUCAAGCCUAAUUUUGAUGAUUUAACCUUGAAAGUAGCCAUUAAUAAAACAGCUAUAAUUUGUGAUAUUUCAACUGAAUUUGGCCAUAGCCUUGAUAACAAAAAAGACAGCACAAAUAUCACAGAAAAUGUGAAUAAAAAAUCUAAAGAUAAAACUGCUUUAACAAACAAUGAUAAUACAGAGCAUGAAACACCAGAUAAUGAGUCAGCAAAUAGUAAUGCGGUUCCAAAUGAUGAGAUUAUACCAGAUAAAACAGCUUCAUUACCUGGUUUUAACUGGGAGAAAUUAGUUGUAAGCAACAAGGAGACUUUGAUUACAAGAGUGGAAGAUAAGAAUGCAGAAGGGAUGGUACAAAGUGCCAUCAAAUCUUCUGAGAUUGAGUUUUCUGACACCAUUAAAGAUGAAAACCACAUUAAAUUAGACAAUGUGAAAUGUGAUGAUAUUUUAGACAAAACAGCUUUACAACAUACAAAUAAUGAUGACAUUAUGAAGCCACAAGUUAAAAGGAACAUUACAAAUAAUGUGGAUAUAAAAGAUGAGGAUAUUACUACUCAGAUGUUUAAACCUGGUGAGAACAACAAUGGGACACUUGUCACAAAAAAUGAAGAUGUCCAAAAGAUCAGACCUUCCAAACCUGGGGAUAAAAAUGAUUUGAUUGACAGCAUUAAAGAAAAAAUAAGUAAUUCAAUACAUCAAGUUUUAAUUGAUAUUAAUAAGGCAGGUGUAACAAAUGAAGUUAUAAAAGCUCAAUCUGUUGCAGCAAUUAAUAACAUGUUGGCUGAGCUAAUUGAUAAAAUGUUUGGAAAAUACAAAAUAUCUGAUGCAAUUUUUGAAAAAAUAGUACAUGCAAUAGAAACAGGAUUUGAAAAAAUGAGUGUAGAUCUUGAUGAUCAUUGCAUAAAAAUUGAUGCUGACACAGAUACUCAUAAUAUAGUCACUCUUGAAACUGCAGACGAGACUAGUGACUUAACGAGUGAUGACAAAAAAGGUUUUAAUGAUAUCACUUUAGUAUCCGAUGAGAAAAUAAAGCCUCUAACUUUCAACUCGUCUCUAGGAGUUCACGGAUUGCGGUCAUGGAUGAAAGCUUCUGAUAAAUACUCAUCAAAAACUGAUUCUCUCCUUGAAAUGUCAAUUACAGAUCUGGCCGAAUGUCUUACUGGGUUUGUAAGUGAACUGAAAAAACCAACUGGGAAACCAUAUUCACCUGAUACAGUGUUUUAUUUAUGUCUCUGUAUCCAGAAGUAUUUGGAAGAGCAUGGGUAUGUUAUAAACAUAUUCUUUGAUAAGGAGUUUCGAGGCUUUGUGCAAAAUCUGGAUAAGCACUUGACGGCAUUUUCGCGGGUAGUUUUGGAAAAAUCAUUCAUUGAAACAAGAGUUGAAGAAGAGCAUUUGUGGCAAAGCAAUAUGCUGGGUAUGCACAACCCUUAUGUUCUGUUGAACACCAUCCUGUACCACAAUAUGAAAUACUUCAGAAUGGUAAACAUCUCGGAUAACGAACGCAAAAACUUCAGCGUGGAGAAGGUGCUUAAAAAGAAAAGUGAGUCAAUGGAUUACUGUACGGUUAUACAAUACUAUCCAGAAAAGAGAAGGAAUUUUUUUUUUACAAUGUUCCCAAAUCAGCAAAAUCCCGACCGCUGCCCCGUAAAGCUUUUUGAGUUUUACUGCUCCAAAUUACCACCACAAGCCAUCAGUCUUUAUAAAAGGUUCUAUUUUAAGCCUUCAACUUGCAAAGUUGAAAGUUUGAAUUGGUACAGUACAAGGGGGUUAGACAGGAGUCUCUUGGAGUUGAUGAUUAAUAGGCUGCGUGUCGUCAGGGAACUGUAUACUGAAACAAAUGAGGUCUAGAAGGAUUAACAUUUUAUUUAUUUAUGAAGAGAGUGAUGCUUUUUUUUGUUUAUAUUGAGGUAAUUCUGAUCCUCAUGCAUUGCCUUUAGCCAUAGCAACCAUGCAAGGCUGUCAACUUAUUGGUAUGCCUGAAGCGGACGUACUGCUGGCACAGUGUGCCAUUUAUUUGGCACGAGCUCCAAAGUCCAGGGAAGCUGAUACAGCUCUU